GGGGCAAGAGGACCACAAUCUUCAUUAAAUAUGCUACAUUUUGUCAAUUUCAGUGUGCAGCCUAGCCUACGAAAGGACUGGCCCAUCAGCCCACAAAUGAAGACAUCGCCUUUGUUUUUCUGUCAGAGGUAUUCCGACUGUCAAUUACGCAAAUGCCAUUUCUCGUUUUCAUAAUUCAGUACAAGAGCAUGCACUUAUAAAAUGUCUCUCUCAUAGCUGGCCUAGCAAGAGAGAUCACCUUGUUUUCCUUGAUAUGUCUUUCAUUCUUUAAGGCACAGUGCCCUGCUACCCUUAUUUAGAUCUUAAUGCGUCCCAUAUGCCCCUGUUUCAGAGCUGAAAUUCCUCCGUUUACUUCCCCGGAAAGCCAUUCUUCAUUAUAAUAUGUUUCCCCAAGUAAAUUUAUUCAUCAUAUUUUUCUCUCCCUGUGACAGCCACGUCCUUCCACUACGGGAAAUUAAACACUGUACCAUAUGGCCAGAGCAACAAACUUUUAGUACUUGCUUGCUCAAUUGUUUUAACACAUUGCCGACUUCAUACAACAUUCUGCUUGCCCGAAUAGUAUCAGGCUUGUGCCUGACAUAUGCAUUAGACAUGUUAAUGGCAAGGAGGAAAUUAAGUGAAGUUGACAAUGUGAGGAAAGAACAGUAUAAUCCCAUUAAGGACUAAAUUUUUGCCAUUUUUACUUUUGUGCGAGUGGGGAAGGGGGGAAAGAAAAAAAAGCUUAAACCAAUCCCUCAGAACAGGUUAUAUCAUUCCCUGCUGUGCAAACAGAUGCUGCCAACUUGCAAAGCUGUAACAGUGCGAGAGCCCCAAAGUGAUGGGCCCAACAUCUUCAGAUUGCCUCCUUCAUAUCGUAAUUCUGUGUUUGUGUGGCUCACUUCAACAUCGGUCCAGUAUACCUGAAGGAGCAUCUCCACCCCCAUCGUUCUACCCGGACACUGAGGUCCAGCGCCGAGGGCCUUCUGGCGGUUCCCUCACUGCGAGAAGCCAAGUUACAGGGAACCAGGCAGAGGGCCUUCUCGGUAGUGGCACCCUCCCUGUGGAACACCCUCCCAC